UGCAAGUCGAGCGGAGUCUUACACUUUCUUCGGAAAGUGUUUGGCUUAGCGGCGGACGGGUGAGUAACACGUAGGUAACCUGCCCAUAAGACUGGGAUAACCCACGGAAACGUGAGCUAAUACCAGAUAGGCAUCUUCUUCGCAUGAAGGAGAUGAGAAAGACGGUUUCGGCUGUCACUUAUGGAUGGACCUGCGGCGCAUUAGCUAGUUGGUGAGGUAACGGCUCACCAAGGCGACGAUGCGUAGCCGACCUGAGAGGGUGAUCGGCCACACUGGGACUGAGACACGGCCCAGACUCCUACGGGAGGCAGCAGUAGGGAAUCUUCCGCAAUGGGCGAAAGCCUGACGGAGCAACGCCGCGUGAGUGAUGAAGGUUUUCGGAUCGUAAAGCUCUGUUGCCAAGGAAGAACGCUCAGGAGAGUAACUGCUCUUGAGGUGACGGUACUUGAGAAGAAAGCCCCGGCUAACUACGUGCCAGCAGCCGCGGUAAUACGUAGGGGGCAAGCGUUGUCCGGAAUUAUUGGGCGUAAAGCGCGCGCAGGCGGCGAUGUAAGUUGGGUGUUUAAACCUAGGGCUCAACCUUGGGUCGCAUCCAAAACUGCAUGGCUUGAGUGCAGCAGAGGAAAGUGGAAUUCCACGUGUAGCGGUGAAAUGCGUAGAGAUGUGGAGGAACACCAGUGGCGAAGGCGACUUUCUGGGCUGUAACUGACGCUGA
rnacentral:rRNA from 1 species